CCCUGCCAUUUGUACACACCGCCCGUCGCUCCUACCGAUUGAAUGGUCCGGCGAAAUCUUCGGAUUGCUGACCUUGGCAUUUAUUUGUCUUGGUUGCGAGAAGUUGAUUAAACCUUAUCAUUUAGAGGAAGGAGAAGUCGUAACAAGGUUUCC
rnacentral:rRNA from 1 species